rnacentral:rRNA from 1 species
GCGAGUCGCGAGAAUUAGAUUCUCGGCGUACCGCUCAGUAACACGUGGGUAAUCUGCCCUAUGCUGGAUAAUAACCUCGGGAAACUGAGUAUAAUGAUCCAUAGUUCACUACGCCUGGAACGGUGAGUGGAUGAAAGCUCCGGCGGCAUAGGAUGGGCCUGCGGCGUAUCAGGUUGUAGGGGGUGUAACGUACCCUCUAGCCCUCUACGCGUACGGGUGUUGGGAGACAUAGCCCGGAGAUGGAUUCUGAGACACGAAUCCAGACCCUACGGGGUGCAGCAGGCGCGAAAACUUGGCAAUGCGAGAAAUCGUGACCAGGGAACUCCAAGUGCAUCGGGUAAGACCGGUGCUUUUCUUGACUCUAAAUAGGUCUUGGAAUAAGGGGUGGGUAAGGACGGUGCCAGCCGCCGCGGUAAUACCGGCGCCUCAAGUGGUAGUCGCUUUUAUUGGGCCUAAAACGUCCGUAGCCGGUCUGAUACAUUCGUGGGUAAAUCAACCAGCUCAACUGGUUGAAUUCUGCGAGGACAGUCAGACUUGGGACCGGGAGAGGUGAGGGGUACGCUCAGGGUAGGGGUAAAAUCCUGUCAUCCUGAGCGGACCACCUGUUGCGAAGGCGCCACACUAGAACGGAUCCGACGGUCAGGGACGAAGCCUAGGGGCACGAACCGGAUUAGAUACCCGGGUAGUCCUAGGUGUAAACGCUGUGGACUUGAUGUUGGGGGUGCUCCGAGCACUCUCAGUGUCGAAGCGAAGGUGA